AAAAAAAUUUCAUUAAACAACUCUACACAUUCUCAUGCUUAUUUAACCGAGCCUUUGGUUUCGGUAAGUUUAAGGUUUGUAUUUAUUUCGGACCAGUCAACAACACUUUAGCCCAUGCCCUUUCAGUUAAGGUUUUCCAUUUCGAACCAGAAUCCAAAACUCAGUCUAAGCGGGUUAUAGGAUAGCUAGUGAUAAAGUAAUUUAUCUUUUUAUUUUGCUUUUUUGUUUAUAACGUAAUUUAUUAGCUAAAUGUAUGGAGUGCGAGAGUGUGCGCCGUGUGUAUAGGAUGCAUGGGGUUAGGCUAAACUAAAGGAAUUAACAUUUUGAGAGCAUACUUAAAGAGAAAAUACAUUUUUUCUGAACAAAACAACUAAUUUCCCAACAUCAGCAAGAUUUCCUAACAUCAGCAAAGUUUCGUUAUUUUUUAAACUAAAAUUACAGUCUCGUAGUGAAAUAUUUGGAAGAGGA